CUGCCCCCCUCCCAGAUCAGCGUAUAGCGGGAGGGAAUCCCAAAGGAGGCCAAGUCCCCUCCCUGCCCUCGCGAGGGAAAUCCCUAGAAAAAGCUGAAUCAGCUCCUGUUCCCUCCUUGCCGGGGCAAAGUUAAACACAGGCACCUCCCACCCCGGGGAACUUUGUCCCCAGCCCUGAAAUCAGCUCAGACAGAAGACAACCGACUGAGGGAAAGUGCACAGGUAAGUGAAGGCCUCCCUGGGGGACCCAAAUCCUGAUAAGAGUUAGAAAACUGAGGAACCUAUAGGCCAUAACUCCCCAGAACCCAGAAGCUGGGCCCCCCGCCCCCUCCUCCCUCAGACCCAGAACUCUGGACUCCUCAGACCCAGGAGACCCAGUCCCCAGCCCCUCCUCCCUCAGGCCCAGGAGUCCAGGACCCCAGGCCCCUCCUCCCCCAGACCAAGGAGUCCGGGCCCCAGGCUCCUUCUCCUUCAGACCCAGGACUCCAAGGCCUUAUUCUCAGGCUUCAGAUUACCUGAGGCUCCCAACCCCAUACCUCAGACACCAAUGAUUCUAAUUCCCUACGGAUCCCAGGGCUGAGGCGACCACAUGGGCCUGGGGGGCGUCCCCUAGUCAUUGACAGAGACCUUGCUCAGAUCAACCCUUGUGGUCCUGCCUGAGGCAAACAAGGGAGAGCAGGUCUGUCCGUGCCCAUCAGGGUGGCCUCUCCCCAGUAUUCUUUGACCUCACAGUGCCUCCUUCCCAGCCUGGCAGGAAAGCAGCUGGGUCAUGAGGUUCGGGCCACCACAACAGCGGACGUAGCCUGCUCCUGCCCUGUGCGCUGGGUGAGCGGACGUGAGCGUGAAUGGCAGCAGUCACUGGUCAGUAGGUGAGUCCUGGGGAAAUGGGGGGCGCUGGGC
rnacentral:lncRNA from 1 species